rnacentral:rRNA from 1 species
AACGAACGCUGGCGGCAUGCCUAACACAUGCAAGUCGAACGAGAUCUUCGGGUCUAGUGGCGCACGGGUGCGUAACGCGUGGGAAUCUGCCCUUUGGUUCGGAAUAACAGUUGGAAACGACUGCUAAUACCGGAUGAUGACGAAAGUCCAAAGAUUUAUCGCCAGAGGAUGAGCCCGCGUAGGAUUAGCUAGUUGGUGUGGUAAAGGCGCACCAAGGCGACGAUCCUUAGCUGGUCUGAGAGGAUGAUCAGCCACACUGGGACUGAGACACGGCCCAGACUCCUACGGGAGGCAGCAGGGGGGAAUAUUGGACAAGGGGCGAAAGCCUGAUCCAGCAAUGCCGCGUGAGUGAUGAAGGCCUUAGGGUUGUAAAGCUCUUUUACCCGGGAUGAUAAUGACAGUACCGGGAGAAUAAGCUCCGGCUAACUCCGUGCCAGCAGCCGCCGUAA